AGGGUGGGGGCACCGGCCUUCCCUCCAAGCAGCGUCGGGGGCCAAGCCCCAAGACGGAGUUGGGGGGCCCCCAAGGCUCCCUAGGGCGGGCUUCUCUCUCUGGACCCUUCGGCCCCGGGCCUCAGGGAGGUCCUCCGAGCCGUGACCGGAGACAUCUGGGCGGUGGGAGGGGGCGGGGCCUCCGCGCUCCAGGGAAGGGGGCAGGAAAAAUCUUUCUCAAGCCUCUCCAGGCUCGGGGUCGGGAAUGAGCGAGGGUCCGGCAGAUUUGGGGCUCCGAGGCCACAGAUGGGGCCCAUGAGUGAGGAGGACAAGAGAGAAAGGAGAAGUUUGGGUGUAAAUCCCAGAGAUUGUUCAUCAUGUGAGAGGAGCCGUGCAUGCAUUUCAUGCCAUACUCACACCAUGGAUGGAGAAAAAAAAUCAAGCUUCACUUUCUGAGAAUGGCCCUGGGGGCACUGCAUCUAGUGCCUGUGCAUCUGCAGACCUGCCGGAUGCCUCCAGGGGAAUCAUGCCACCCCAAGCAAGAAAGGGCCCAGUUGCCAGGAGCCUGGAGGCAGAGAGCUGAGGAGCCAGCCCCUGACAUCAGAAUGGAGCUCAAAGGUUGGCUGGGUGUGACUCUGCCGUGGACAGCUUCUCUUGGGAAAUCUACUUUAAUGAAUCCAGGGGACCAAUUUGUAAUCAGCCCAUCAGAUGUUCAGCGACACUUAGCUGGAAUCUCGUUGCUGGACUCUGUGCCCCGCAGUGGAUGACAGUUCUCCAUCAGGGUCUGCAGUCCUCUACCCUGGACUUGCUGCAUCCUGGAGCCCCCAGCAGUCAGGUACCGGCUCUCAGAACUGCCUGCAUCCCAUUGGCCUGAGCUGCUGUCUGCCAGGGCUGCUGGUAACCAGGCCCACAGGGUUGGAUAUUCCCCCAACAGGGCAGCUCCCAGUCCAAGCCCAACUGUUACCAGCCCAGAAAGAUGUUUCAGGAUACCCCUUUCCUCCCCACUUCCCUGCCCUCUGCAGCUCCAGCUGGUGCACCCCAUCUUUCUCUCCCCCUCCCUGCUAGGCUGGGCCCUAACAGGAGACCUUUGAGGUGGUUGGGCUUGUUCUGCAACCUUGAGUACCCUUGAGCUACUGCCUCACUCCUCAGUUUUCUUCUUCUUAAGGUUUCUAAUUGGACUUUGCCAGUGUAUUUAUUUCAAAACUGGUCAUCUUACUGACCUCGCUCAUAGUCUCUUAUUACUUUUCUAGUUGAUUCUCUUGAGUUUUCUGGAUAAACAAUAAUAUCAUGUACAAAUAAUGAUGACA
rnacentral:lncRNA from 1 species